rnacentral:rRNA from 1 species
GUGGGGAAUCUUGCGCAAUGGGCGAAAGCCUGACGCAGCCAUGCCGCGUGAAUGAUGAAGGUCUUAGGAUUGUAAAAUUCUUUCACCGGGGACGAUAAUGACGGUACCCGGAGAAGAAGCUCCGGCUAACUUCGUGCCAGCAGCCGCGGUAAUACGAAGGGGGCUAGCGUUGCUCGGAAUUACUGGGCGUAAAGGGCGCGUAGGCGGACAGCUUAGUCAGAGGUGAAAGCCCAGGGCUCAACCUUGGAAUUGCCUUUGAUACUGGCUGUCUUGAGUUUGGGAGAGGUGAGUGGAACUCCGAGUGUAGAGGGGAAAUUCGUAGAUAUUCGGAAGAACACCAGUGGCGAAGGCGACUCACUGGCCCAAUACUGACGCUGAGGCGCGAAAGCGUGGGGAGCAAACAGGAUUAGAAACCCCUGUAGUCC